UAAAUUUACAGAAAAAAAAAAAGUUGAUGAUGGUACAAAAAAGAGAUAGGCUACUUUUCAAUAGAAAAUAGAAAAAACUUUAAAAAUCUUUCUUGUGGUUUCAAUUUUUUUCACUUUAAUAUCCUAUAGUUUAAAGUGUAUCAAGUUAGUACCCUGUGGUUUCUCACUUUAUCACUUUAGUAUCCUGUGGUUUAAAGUGUAUCAAGUUAGUACCUUGUGAUUUUGCACUUUAUCACUUUAGUACAUUAUGGUUUUAAUUUUGUAUCAAGUUAGUAUCCUGUGCUUUUUUAAAUCACAUGGUACUAAAGUGAUAAAGUGUGAAACUACAGGGUACUAAAGUGAUAAAGUGCAAAACCACAUGAUACUAACUUGAUACACUUUAAACCACAGGGUACUAAAGUGAUAAAGUGAGAAACUACAGGGUACUAACUUAAUACGUUUUGAACCAUAGGGUACGAAAAUGAAAAAGUGUGAAACUAAGGGGAGCUUUUUGAAGCUUUUUCUAGAAAAUAUAUAAG
rnacentral:lncRNA from 1 species